GGGGGUAUAUCUCAAUCUCAGUGGUAGAGCAUUCGACUGCAGAUGGAGAGGUCCCCGGUUCAAACCCGGGUGCCCUCU